rnacentral:ncRNA from 1 species
GAUAACAGCACAGUCCUAUUCUAGAGUCCAUAUCGACAAUAGGGUUUACAACCUCAAUGUUGGAUCAGGACAUCCUAUUGUGUUGCCACUAUUGAAGGUUCGUUUGUUCAAUGAUUAAUGUCCUAUGUGAUCUGAGUUCAGACCGGAGUAAUCCAGGUU